rnacentral:rRNA from 1 species
GGUAAGUGGCGGCUACCUGCAGUCGGACGGUAGCACAGAGAGCUUGCUCUCGGGUGACGAGUGGCGGACGGGUGAGUAAUGUCUGGGGAUCUGCCCGAUAGAGGGGGAUAACCACUGGAAACGGUGGCUAAUACCGCAUAACGUCGCAAGACCAAAGAGGGGGACCUUCGGGCCUCUCACUAUCGGAUGAACCCAGAUGGGAUUAGCUAGUAGGCGGGGUAAUGGCCCACCUAGGCGACAAUCCCUAGCUGGGCUGAGAGGAUGACCAGCCACACUGGAACUGAGACACGGUCCAGACUCCUACGGGAGGCAGCAGUGGGGAAUAUUGCACAAUGGGCGCAAGCCUGAUGCAGCCAUGCCGCGUGUAUGAAGAAGGCCUUCGGGUUGUAAAGUACUUUCAGCGGGGAGGAAGGCGGUGCGGUUAAUAACCGCGCCGAUUGACGUUACCCGCAGAAAAAACACCGGCUAACUCCGUGCCACCAGCCGCGGUAAUACGGAGGGUGCAAGCGUUAAUCGGAAUUACUGGGCGUAAAGCGCACGCAGGCGGUCUGUUAAGUCAGAUGUGAAAUCCCCGGGCUUAACCUGGGAACUGCAUUUGAAACUGGCAGGCUUGAGUCUUGUAGAGGGGGGUAGAAUUCCAGGUGUAUCGGUGAGAUGCGUAUAGAUCUGGAGGAAUACCGGUGGCGAAAGCGGCCCCCUGUACAAAGACUGACGCUCACGUGCGAAAGCGUGGGGAGCAAACAGGAUUAUAUACACUGGUAGUCCACGCCGUAUACGAUGUCGACUUGUAGGUUGUUCCCUCUGAGGAGUGGCUUCCCGGAGCUAACGCGUUAAGUCGACCGCCUGGGGAGUACGGCCGCAAAGGUGAUAAACUCAAAUGAGUUUGACGGGGGCCCGCACAAGCGGUGGGAGCAUGUGUGGUAAUACGAUGCAACGCGAAGAACACUUACCUACUCUCGACAUCCACGGAAUUCGGCAGAGAUGCCUUAGUGCCUUCGGGGAACACGUGAGAC